rnacentral:rRNA from 1 species
GACGAACGCUGGCGGCGUGCUUAAUACAUGCAAGUCAACUGAACUUAGGAUAGCAAUAUUUUAAGGGAGGUGGCGCACGGGUGAGUAACACGUAGGUAAUCUGCCUUUAGGUCUGACAUAACCUACCGAAAGGUAGGCUAAAAUCAGAUGAUGCAGCGGCUCGACAUCGAGACAGUUGUUAAAUCUUCGGAGCCUAAAGAUGAGCCUGCGUCUGAUUAGGUAGUUGGCGGUGUAAUGGACCACCAAGCCUGCGAUCAGUAGCUGGUCUGAGAGGAUGAUCAGCCACACUGGAACUGAGACACGGUCCAGACUCCUACGGGAGGCAGCAGUAAGGAAUAUUGUUCAAUGGCCGAAAGGCUGAAGCAGCAACGCCGCGUGGAGGAUGAAAUACUUUGUAUGUAAACUCCUGUAAGAAGGGAAAAUAGUUACCGAUUCAUCGGAAUUGAUUGUACCUUCAGAGUAAGCCCGGCUAACUACGUGCCAGCAGCCGACGG